rnacentral:rRNA from 1 species
UAGGCUAAUACCGCAUAGGAAGUUUGUUCGCAUGAACAAACUUAGAAAGAUGGCUCUGCUAUCACUUAUCGAUGGCCUUGCGGUGCAUUAACUAGUUGGCGAGGUAACGGCUCACCAAGGUGAUGAUGCAUAGCCGACCUGAGAGGGUAAUCGGCCACAUUGGGACUGAGACACGGCCCAAACUCCUACGGGAGGCAGCAGCG